AAUGAAAUUCUGGGGACCAGGUCAAAUAAGGAGAUUACAGCGUUGAAGAAUUCUUACAAAGAAGUCCAUGGAGAGCUGCUGGAGGAAAAUAUUAAAAGUGACAUUAAAGGAGAUCUCGAGACUACCCUGCUUGCCCUUUGCAAGGCUACCAGGAGUGAAGACCGUAACAUUGAUGAUGGAAUGGCUAAGAGUGAUGCAAAGGUAAAG